AUGGUCAAUCAUCACUCAAUUAACAACCUAAUUAUCUCAAUAACUUUAACACCGCUUCAGUGUUCAUUUAAUACUCUUAUUUUAACACUUUAACACUCUUGAGUAUGGUCUCAUAUAUACUCCCAGGAGAGUUCAUUUAACACCGGAGUUUUUGCUGUGUUUCUCCUGGCUGAAAAACUGCUAGCAAAUCCAGAUGACUGGAACAAAAUACUGAGGAGGACUUUUACUUUCUGAACCUGGACUUUACACCUCUGAUAUUAGCACCUUUGGGAGUAAAAAAGGUACAAAAAUGUCCCUUUAAAGGUACUGCUCCAGCGACAAGCUGUUGUAACCCUAAAGUUACAAUUUUAAAGCCUUUUUUUUCUGUGUGCAGAAAUUAUUUAUUAUUUUAUUUAUUAUUUAUUUGUUUGUGUUCAUCUGAAGAAGGAAAGUCGUACACAUCUAGGAUGGCGUGACGGUAAAAGAUGAGUAAAUGGAGAGGUCAUGUGUGGGUGUGCUGCAUUUUCUUUUAAUAUACACAGAAUUCAAAGAACGAAAAAGAAGAAGAGGAACAACAUGAGUAAGAAGCAAGAGAAACACAUGAGAAGUGUUGCAAUGAUUUCAUUUUUUGAUUUGAUUGGGAGUGAUUUCAGCAGCAGGUUUUAUUUUUGUUCCCAUAACGUUCUGGUAAAAGAAUAAAUCAGUGAUGACUUGAGGUCAUCAUAUUCAUAUGACAGACUGAAGAUGACUUGAGGUCAUCAUAUUCAUAUGACGGACUGAAGAUGACUUGAGGUCAUCAUAUUCAAAUGACGGACUGAAGACAACAUCAUGUAACAGAAAUCAGUGAUGACUUGAAGUCAUCAUAUUCAUAUGACGGACUGAAGACAACAUCAUGUAACAGAAUAAAUCAGUGAUGACUUGAGGUCAUCAUAUUCAUAUGACAGACUGAAGAUGACUUGAGGUCAUCAUAUUCAUAUGACGGACUGAAGAUGACUUGAGGUCAUCAUAUUCAAAUGACGGACUGAAGACAACAUCAUGUAACAGAAAUCAGUGAUGACUUGAGGUCAUCAUAUUCAUAUGACGGACUGAAGAUGACUUGAUGUCAUCAUAUUCAUAUGACGGACUGAAGACAACAUCAUGUAACAGAAUAAAUCAGUGAUGACUUGAGGUCAUCAUAUUCAUAUGACGGACUGAAGAUGACUUGAGGUCAUCAUAUUCAUAUGACGGACUGAAGAUGACUUGAGGUCAUCAUAUUCAUAUGACGGACUGAAGAUGACUUGAGGUCAUCAUAUUCAUAUGACGGACUGAAGACAACAUCAUGUAACAGAAAUCAGUGAUGACUUGAGGUCAUCAUAUUCAUAUGACGGACUGAAGAUGACUUGAGGUCAUCAUAUUCAUAUGACGGACUGAAGACAACAUCAUGUAACAGAAAUCAGUGAUGACUUGAGGUCAUCAUAUUCAUAUGACGGACUGAAGAUGACUUGAGGUCAUCAUAUUCAUAUGACGGACUGAAGACAACAUCAUGUAACAGAAAUCAGUGAUGACUUGAGGUCAUCAUAUUCAUAUGACGGACUGAAGAUGACUUGAGGUCAUCAUAUUCAUAUGACGGACUGAAGACAACAUCAUGUAACAGAAUAAAUCAGUGAUGACUUGAGGUCAUCAUAUUCAUAUGACGGACUGAAGACAACAUCAUGUAACAGAAUAAAUCAGUGAUGACUUGAGGUCAUCAUAUUCAUAUGAUGGACUGAAGAUGACUUGAUGUCAUCAUAUUCAUAUGACAGACUGAAGACAACAUCAUGUAACAGAAUAAAUCAGUGAUGACUUGAGGUCAUCAUAUUCAUAUGACGGACUGAAGAUGACUUGAUGUCAUCAUAUUCAUAUGACGGACUGAAGACAACAUCAUGUAACAGAAUAAAUCAGUGAUGACUUGAGGUCAUCAUAUUCAUAUGACAGACUGAAGACAACAUCAUUUAACAGAAUAAAUCAGUGAUGACUUGAGGUCAUCAUAUUCAUAUGACGGACUGAAGAUGACUUGAGGUCAUCAUAUUCAUAUGACGGACUGAAGACAACAUCAUGUAACAGAAAUCAGUGAUGACUUGAGGUCAUCAUAUUCAUAUGACGGACUGAAGACAACAUCAUAACAGAAUUAAAAAUUACGAGCUGAAAUGUCUGUGCGGAGAGCAAACUAGCGCUGUUUUGUUCCACAUUUUUUGCGUUUUGAUGUGGACGCAACAGAAACUGUCAGUGACACCGCACAUGCCAAUUAAACAGAUUUUAGGAAACUCUGCGGUGGCACCAGUGCUAGCGCUAAUAAACCGGCCGGCAUGAAGAGCUCGCAAAAUGCUUAGAUGCAGUCCGUAACUUUAGCCGUUUUAAUAGGUAACUUAGGCAAACUAAAAAAUAAUAAUAACAAUAAUAACAAAAAAAAAAAAAAAAAAAAAAAAACCCAAAACUGUUCUUUCAGAUUGUUUUAGUUACAGUUCAUCAUUUUAUUAUCACUAUUAUCAUCACCUAACUAUCACCUAACUAACUGCUGUAAAUUAAUAAGA